AUAAUCCGCCUUAUACACCGGGGGGGGGGGGGGGGAUAGAGUUGUGGUGUCAAAAUGAAUUAAUUAAUCGACAGUUAAUCAACCAUCAAAUGACUCGACAGCUAUUUUGAAAGCCCAUCCAUCAUUUAGAGCCGGUUUUCAUUUUAAAUAGCCAUAUCCGAUUUGAAGGUAUCUUCAAACAUCCGAUUUUAUUUAGGAGAGCGGUGUUACAACACAUUUUCGCAUUCUGCAUUUUCUGACAUAUUACAGACCAAAACUGUAACUGUAAUCAGUUAAUGGAAGAAAAAAAAAACCCCCAGCAGUCAUCAUAUGAAUCACCUGUAAUUGAACCUGAAGCCCAGAGGUGAAGGCAGCCCUUUGCAUGAAUCAAUAACCAAGAAGUAGUUGCCAUUUUCCAAAACGUUGGCCAGUACGUCACUCCCUCCCAGGUGAAUUGUGUUCUGCUUUUGUUUCAUUAUGAAAUACAAUACCCAAUAACCAAUGAGAAGAGAGGGGUUGGGGGGGGGGAUUUUGCAUUUUGGUGCAACAUCAUUUUUAUAUGAUUAUUCGAGGCCUCCGUCGAAUAACUGACUCUUAAAAUAGUCACCAGUUCAAUAGCCCUAAUAGAAAGUCAUGCGGUUUAUGACCUGGUGUUGUCAAUGUAUAACCCGGCCUCGAGGGGCCUAAAGUCAAACCUGUUUUUCACCUGAGCCUUGACUAUAGCAUAAUAAAAGAUCCAGUUCCACUUUUAGCCUGGAUGUCGUUUCGCAACGUGUGAAUAAAGUCGCAUCCCACGACAGUGACAGUCACUAUUUCUUGACGACCUUUGGCGGGUGAAGUGGGGCAGAGGGGGCGGAGGGUGGGGUGGGGGGGCCUGUCACACAACCUUCCUCUCAAAACUUGAGUGUGCGGACGCAUAGCAGGAGGGGAUGGAGCAAGUCAAACUUUGGAUCCGCGACACCUUUUUUUUUUUUUCAAUUUCCCCCCCCCCCACCCCACCUCUUCUUCCAUUUGAAGUUCGGAGACAGUCUCAUUUAAGCCUCAUCGCGCAGCAACACGGGAGGAAAGUGUAAUGAAUAUGUAUCAACACAGCAUAUGGCAGCAGGAGCACUGGGACUAGGUGUGUCCAGAAGGUAGAGUGCCGCCAAUGCAUUAUUCUCCAUUCAAAUGAGAGAAGAGGAACUGAAAAGGUGUUCAGCACCUUCUCACAUGGGCCACUUGCAGAAAUAUUCGAAACACAAGAGGAAGAGGCACUGUGUGAAAUGAGUAAAAAAAUAAUAAUAAUAAUUGAGAGGCAGUCAUGAGGACAGGAAUCAAGCAGUGAAGUUUCCUUGAUUUCCAAUUUUUUAUUUUUUUAUUUUAUUUUUUUGUCAACCAACCCGGCGCUCGCUGACACAAACGUGAUUAAAAGUGAUCUUUCUGACACAUUAGGAUGCACACGGGAAGUAACCUCCUCCAAAGCGUUCAUUAUUAGAUGCAUGACAGACCUGAAUAUUUAUAAAAUAGGUUUUAAUAAUUAAUCGCGGCAAUCUGCUCCUGUAAUUCAUCAGAUUUGCACUUCAACAGAGUAUCCGUUUUUGACUUUAAAAUAAUAAUAAGCGGAAUAUGAAUGUUGCGGGGGAGGUAAAACGGGCAGCUGGAUGCAUCGGGCCGAGCGCCCGCCCCCCCCUGCCCGCCGUUCGCCUACUCAGGCUUUCCCCGUCGCGAGGACAAGUCAAACGAUAUUUGAAAGCUUCAGUCUUGCGCGGUGUGAAGAGCAGCGGUUUGUUCUCGUGCGUGACAGCUUAGUGAACGGCUUCUCGCAAGUGUCGUGAAGAUGCAGGAAACGCAAGUUGGUUUGGUUUUGAAUGCUAAAGUAGUUUCUGUGGUUUUUAUUUGAGGAAAAAAAAGGGUAAUUCAUUCGUUUGAGUCAACUUAACAGUACUUCCUUCAGUUUACUAAGACCCAAAAUAGACAGCGUUCUUUUUUCACCCCCUCCCUGUCAAGUAUUUCUGCUUGUUUCAUUUUUUUUUCUCCCUGAACCCUUUUUUGAAAAAUUGUUUUAUCACAUCCUUCAAACGCAGUCGCAGCACAUUCCUCAUUCGACUGAACUCCCAGAAAGAACAUUGAUCCUGUUUCAGGUGAAAACUGCCAUGUUUGAUUCCACCCCCUUAUUGAAGUUCUGGCUAAAAAUUGUUGUUGUUGUUUUUUGUUUUUUUUGUUUAAUGAUGUGACCCGCAGCUUUAAAAUACUGCAAACUGAACUCGCGAUCAUCCACAUCCAAAUAACUAUGACACUCUUGUACGCACUUUUGUAAAGGCUGAGUCUUUGAUCGUAUCCAUAUUAUUAUUAUUAUUAUUUUUUUUUUUUUUACUUUAUGUUAACUGUUUUGUAAAGCGCUUUGUUACAGCUGCCGCUGUUGUGAAAGCGCUAUAUAAAUCAGCAUGUAUUGUAUUGUAUUGUAUUGUAUUGUAUUGUAUUGUAUUGUAUCGUAUCGUAUCCCUGUCAAUAACGUGGCUGGUUGAGUACGCACAGCAGCCAUACAUGGUGCGCUCAUUCCCGUACCACUCAGGCUUGCGCGACGAACACACCCGACCGACGCCGUCAUCCUGCUCGUAAGCAAAAGACAACAAAUGAAGGAUCUAUGAAGGGGACUCACAGCCACACGGGGGGAGUGGGGGGGGGGGGGGUGCUCUGUGAAAUCCCCCGAGCCGGAAGACUCUUUCUCUUCACUUCCUCCCCGCAGUCCUACAAAGAAACAAGUUACAUCAAAUUUUCAUCAGGCAUCCAAAAAGUUAGCACAAUAUUAUUUAAAGGAGAGAGCGAAGCAACAUUGAAACGGGGUGACAUCGAUUUAAUCAGUGGGGGGGUGGAAAAAAGAAAGUUGGAAUUAGUCAUCGGGAUCGCGCUGAUGUAUUUAUUUUAAUGCCAGAGUGCCUUAUUUGCUGUCAAAAUGUCUUCAGCCUCUUAUUAGAGGAAUGCCACAGCUCAUUUCCUUGUAACGCCAUUCAUAGGCUGCUGAAAGAGGGCAUGUCUAAAGAUCUAAACAGCCGGCUUUUUAGGCCUCACAUUAGUGGUGCGUGUCAUUGAUUGACAUUAUUGGGCCUGACAGGGCUUCACGUCAAGGUUAACUUCACGGCCAAAAGUGCUGCCUGCCUGCACCAACACACAUCGACGCACGCCGACGCGCCGCGCUCAUUCGCUCGCUAAUAUGCCACCAACCCCCCCCCCCACCCCUAAAAAAUAGAAAACGAUCCUCAACCUCCUGUUGAGAGCCAUGAUGAGGAUGAUGAUGGUCUGUGUGUGUGUGCGCGUAUGUGUGUGUGUGUGUGUGUCAUCUUCAUUGUUGUGAGCGUGAUGCCAGGUGGAGAUUUGGAGACUUAAUUGAUAACUAAUGGAGCGGCAUGUGCUGAGUUUACCCUGGAGGAUUGACACAGAGUGUGUGUGUGUGCGUGUGUGUGUGUGUGUGUGUGUGUGUGUGUGUGUGUGUGUGUGUGUGCGUGUGUGUAAUUUGUAAUUUGACUUACUCAGCAGUGUAACUCCGAAUUGCAUCGAAUUAAAAACGUGACCCCAAAAGAUUACGACGCGUCAGGUCUCUUUUCCAUCCAAACAGAAAAAGUGUGUAACGUCAUCUCACUCUCAACAAGCCACAAAGACAAAGCGAGAUCCCCGUGACCAAACUACAAGUGAAGCAGUUAAUCUGUACAGAUAUUAGCUGAAGGGCCCUUGAGAGGUGCACCGUUGAGCCCCCCCCCAUCUCCACUGUACUACCCACGAUGCCUCGCUGCCGCGCCACACGCCACGGCCGCGGGACACACACACACACACACACACACAGGAGUUGUCUGCUCAUUUACCGUGGCGCUCGGUUGAUCAAAUUGCACCCUUGCGAACGUCUUGAAAGUGAACGCGGAAGCUGAGGUCCAAAACAAAGCUUCAGGAAUAAAUUUCCCCUGCUAUUCUCAGCAAAAGCGUUUGAACCGCGUGGGCCGACUGCGUAUUUAUUUCAAGCCCGGACUCGUGAAAUUGAAACACUCACAAAGUGAAGUCAUCCCGUGCUUCCAGCUGCGAGUCCAGAUUUGGUCUGCAAAAUUAACAAGUUAGCCGUGUGUCCCGUGAAUUACCCAAAGCGGCGAGCAGGCAUAAAAGUUGGUGUGCGGCUGUCACAAUAGGUCUCGUCACUCCCUUUUCUUCGCCCUUCAACCACUUUUGGCUGCGUGUCCUCCGCUCUGGAAAAGACCGUAAUUACUCCGUUUUUUGGAUCAAGUCCCGGGCUGUAUUUGUCCUUGUAGAUUUGCCCUCAAGUUCAACGUCUUUUCCUCUUCCUCUCUUCACUUCAAACAUACUGUCAUACUCUUUUUGCGGCGGGCUUUUCGGUCAAUCGUCCAGUGUGCGAUUCUGACUUUAGUCUCUGCCAUUGCCCCGUAGCGUGCUAUUUGCUUCGCUCGAAGGCUCGUGCGCUUGUGAUUGUAGCUCGUAGAUCGUGCCGAUAGGAAAUAGUCGGGGCCCUUCAAGGGUGGGCCCUUUCGCAAUGAGCAAAGGUCAUAUUUUGGACUGAGAGCAAUAAGUGCUUUCUUGAGAGGUAAUUGAAAGAAAAAAGAUCAAAUAAAGAAGCAGAGACCCGAGCGUGUGAUUAUUAAUAAAAGAGAUGUGUGCAAGAGAGGGGCCUGUGAGGGGCGUGUGUGCAAAGAGGACAUGUUUGAACCGCGUGCACGUUGUUGUCCGCCUGCAUGUGUGCAUGCAUCGAUAUUGAAAUCAGAAUUUAACCCCGGAGAACCCAAGAACCCUUUUCUUAUUUUGGAAAAUUAUGAAUUUUACAUUAAAUGACUGAUAUAUGUUCAGUGAACACCAAAAUAUAUGUUUUUUUAAAAAAAUAUUUCAUGCUUUAAUCGGCGGCCCAGUAGUCCAGUGGUUAGCACAUCGGCUUCACAGUGCAGAGGUACCGGGUUCAAUUCCAGCUCCGGCUUCCCUGUGUGGAGUUUGCAUGUUCUCCCCGGGCCUGCGUGGGUUUUCUCCGGGUGCUCCGGUUUCCUCCCACAUUCCAAAAACAUGCGUGGCAGGCCGAUUGAACACUCUAAAUUGUCCCUAGGUGUGAGUGUGAGCGUGGAUGGUUGUUCGUCUAUGUGUGCCCUGCGAUUGGCUGGCAACCGAUUCAGGGUGUCCCCCGCCUACUGCCCGAAGACGGCUGGGAUGGGCUCCAGCACCCCCCGCGACCCUAGUGAGGAUCAAGCGGCUUGGAAGAUGAAUGAAUGAAUGCUUUAAUCCUAAUUUAGGAUUAGGGCCAAAUUUGACCCUUUGGGAUUUAAGGGGAGCAUUUGAGGAGCAGAAUUGAUUGGGGCCAAAUUUGACCCCGUGGGUUCGCCAGGGUUUGAAAAAUAAUAUUAAAAAAAAAAACACAAAGGGAAGCAAAUGUUUUAAAUUGAUAGCGAUGGUAGUUUUCCGCACCCGUACGCACGCUCCCACCUCUUUAAUUUUUUUUUCUGACUAUUUCCGCUCAGUCAUAUUUGUCAUCAUUGUGUCUACUCUGCAAUUAUCGUCUUUCGUGAAAUUAAACUGAAGCACCCCGGCAACCAGGGAACUCCAAAAUGAGCGGAUUUACAUUCGAGUUGGGGGAGCGCGCCGUCCCAGCACCAACUAAAGCGCUUCUUACAGGAAGACGCUGAGGCUCAGGUGGGCUGGCGGGGGCUCAAUAUGCUCCGCCGGCCCCUUCUACCUCCGGUUGUAAUCUGCCCUCAAGUACUCAGCCAUCUUUACAGCCUUGUCUCUCAUUCCCCACUCCACAUAAACUUCCCCUCCGAUGUGCACCACCCCCUAAUCUUCAUCUAUCAUCUAGUUGGCAAUGGCAUUGUUUUUAAUCAUCAGAACCUCAAAAUUAUUAUCGCUUCUGAUGCGGCAAUUAAAACUUCAGGUCAGAGGCACAACGAGCGGUGAUCAGCAGCCGAGCUGAGAAGUUUUAAUUAGACGAUCAGAACCAUUAAUGCACAAAAAAAAAAGGUGUGCGCUGGGAAAUUAACGGGAACGUCUUAAUCAGGGUUAGCGACUCCGAAGAGGAGUCAAGUGAACAGAGAGCAAAAAACAAAUCAUUUCCGCACCACUGGGACAAAACGCAAUUAAAUAUGGAUGCGGAAAAAUGGAAAUUUCCCGGCAUCAGCUUCGCAGACUCCUCGAAAAGUGUAGCAAAAAUCUCACACUGGGGUUGACGACCCCGCUUAUUGUUAUUCUUGUGUAAUAAAAAUGAGAAAAGGGGCCAGAUGCUGCGGUCCGGGCAUCAUGGCGCACGUCCAUCGGUGGCUUUCCGCUUGACUUCCUCGCGGAGGAGAACAAUUUCAAACGCUCUGUCUGACACACACACACACACACACGCACAUAAUCUCAAACACACAGCCCAGGUUCAACUGGUACACGCCGAUUGAUUCAACCACCAAAGGUUCAUAAAGUUCUAAGAUAAAGCAAAUCUCGGUUGCAUCAUGUAAAAUAAUCUUCAUCUCUCAGACGCUGUUUGUAUUAAUUAAGUCCAGAUAUUGCUCGAUUAUUAGCCUCUGCAUCAUUCAUAUUGGAACUCAGCGGGAAUCGACAACCAAGACAUACCGUAACGGUUUUAUGGGGCGAACGCGUUCGGCGUGUUCAUGACACUAAAGUGGAUCGACCUCAACAUCUACCACUCUUAUUGAGACAAUAAAACUCAUCGGCCGCACAAAUAAACUCAACUAUGGAUUUACUGUCUUCACGGGGGUUUAGAUAGCAGCCCCGCACAUGAAAAUCCAGAUGGAAUUCUUGACAAUCGAAGAUAUGUCGUAUUAGGAAAAUGGAUGAUUAGUAGCGGAUGUGAAAAAAAAAUGGACGGAAACUGUCAGAAAAUGGGCGGCCCGGUAGUCUAGUGGUUAGCACGUGGGCUUCACAGUGCAGAGGUACCGGGUUCGAUUCCAGCUCCGGCCUCCCUGUGUGGAGUUUGCAUGUUCUCCCCGGGCCUGCGUGGGUUUUCUCCGGGUGCUCCGGUUUCCUCCCACAUUCUAAAAACAUGUGUAGCAGGCUGAUUGAACACUCUAAAUUCUCCCUAGGUGUGAGUGUGAGCGUGGAUGGUUGUUCGUCUCUGUGUGCCCUGCGAUUGGCUGGCAACCGAUUCAGGGUGUCCCCCGCCUACUGCCCGGAGACAGCUGGGAUAGGCUCCAACACCCCCCGCGACCCUAGUGAGGAUCAAGCUGUUAGGAAGAUGAAUGAAUGAAUGAAUGUCACAAAAUGCCUACCUAGAGAUGACGCGUUUUCUGUUUUUAUUUAAUUUCUUUGGAUUUGUUUGCACACCAUAACACCAUCUUUGUUGCACGUUAAAAAAAAAGUAAUAAUAAUAAUAAUUCGACCCGGAUGAACCCAGACAGAGGUAAAGCCGUGACCCGACUCGUCGCCGCCAUCAUUAAAAUUCUCCCAUCCUUGACUCCGAAAGCCGCCUUGAUUACAGUCUGCGCGCGUUCACACAGAUAAUGCACUUCCAACAGCGUUAUUAGGAUUUGAAACGCCACUUGAUUGGGCGUGAUAUCAUUCUGGCACACAAACAGAGCCCCCUACAUUAAAAAGGAAACCAAAAAAAAAAAAAAAAACAGGACCUUUGGAGAGUCAAUUGUCGGCUCGGCUGAAUGUCGAGC